rnacentral:snoRNA from 1 species
AUUUCAAAGAGGGCUUGUUGGGCUGAGAAACCAGGAGCCUCUUCUGCCAGAACCAAAGAUGCAGCCCUUUAGUAUGUGACAUAGUCACUCAGGAGUGCUAGGAUUGUUUUUGGGUUUUUUUU